UAAUUCUGUAAUAGUGUGGCAUUUGAUGUAAUUCUGUAAUAGUGUGGCAUUUGAUGUAAUCCUGCAAUAGUGUGGCAUUUGAUGUAAUUCUGUUAUAGUGUGGCAUUUGAUGUAAUUCUGUAAUAGUGUGGCAUUUGAUGUAAUCCUGCAGUAGUGUGGCAUUUGAUGUAAUUCUGUAAUAGUGUGGCAUUUGAUGUAAUUCUGUAAUAGUGUGGCAUUUGAUGUAAUCCUGCAAUAGUGUGGCAUUUGAUGUAAUUCUGUAAUAGUGUGGCAUUUGAUGUAAUCCUGCAAUAGUGUGGCAUUUGAUGUAAUCCUGCAGUAGUGUGGCAUUUGAUGUAAUUCUGUAAUAGUGUGGCAUUUGAUGUAAUUCUGUAAUAGUGUGGCAUUUGAUGUAAUCCUGCAAUAGUGUGGCAUUUGAUGUAAUUCUGUAAUAGUGUGGCAUUUGAUGUAAUCCUGCAAUAGUGUGGCAUUUGAUGUAAUCCUGCAGUAGUGUGGCAUUUGAUGUAAUUCUGUAAUAGUGUGGCAUUUGAUGUAAUCCUGCAGUAGUGUGGCAUUUGAUGUAAUUCUGUAAUAGUGUGGCAUUUGAUGUAAUUCUGUAAUAGUGUGGCAUUUGAUGUAAUCCUGCAGUAGUGUGGCAUUUGAUGUAAUUCUGUAAUAGUGUGGCAUUUGAUGUAAUUCUGUAAUAGUGUGGCAUUUGAUGUAAUUCUGUAAUAGUGUGGCAUUUGAUGUAAUCCUGCAAUAGUGUGGCAUUUGAUGUAAUUCUGUAAUAGUGUGGCAUUUGAUGUAAUUCUGUAAUAGUGUGGCAUUUGAUGUAAUCCUGCAAUAGUGUGGCAUUUGAUGUAAUCCUGCAAUAGUGUGGCAUUUGAUGUAAUCCUGCAAUAGUGUGGCAUUUGAUGUAAUCCUGCAAUAGUGUGGCAUUUGAUGUAAUCCUGCAGUAGUGUGGCAUUUGAUGUAAUCCUGCAGUAGUGUGGCAUUUGAACAUCCUUUUUUUCUGGACAAGUCUGCAUCAUAUUUUGACAUACAAGUCUGUAUCUUGUGUUUUAUUGACGGAAUAAUUCUGUAUGUAUCUAAUAAAUAGAGAUGAUUAGUUCA